UUUUAAAUUGCUGUGGUAUUUUAACUAUACAAAGGUAUUGUAAUAAGAUUUUAAUUGAAUGCUAAAAGAAUGGAAUUUCAGGGAAAAACUUUUUUAAAUUUAAAAAUUUAAAUUAUUUUAAUUUGUGAAGAAACAAUUAUAAAAAUUAAAGACAAGAAGACCCUAAGAAUUUUAUAAAUUAUAUAAAAAUAUUUAUUUUUAUAUAAUUUUUUAGUUGGGGCAACUAAAAAAUAUUUUUAACUUUUUUUAAAUAAAAUGACCCAUAAUUAAUGAUUAUAUGUUAAAAUACUCUAGGGAUAACAGCGUAAUAAUUUUUGAUAGAUCAUAUAGACAAAAUAGUUUGCGACCUCGAUGUUGGAUUAGGAUACUUUUUUAAUGAAGAUAUUAAAAAAAGAAGUUUGUUCAACUUUUAAAUUCCUACUUGAUCUGAGUUCAGACCGGA
rnacentral:rRNA from 1 species